rnacentral:rRNA from 1 species
GCUGGCGGCGUGCUUAACACAUGCAAGUCAAGGAGAACAGAAUUUUUCGGAAUUCUUAGUAAACUGGCGCACGGGUGCGUAACGCGUAGGCAACCUGCCCCGGAGUGGGGAAUAACAUCGGGAAACCGGUGCUAAUACCGCAUAAUAUUCCAUUGUCGCAUGAUUUUGGAAUCAAAGAUUUAUCGCUCUGGGGUGGGCCUGCGUCCUAUUAUCUUGUUGGUGAGGUAACGGCUCACCAAGGCUGCGAUGGGUAGCUGGUCUGAGAGGAUGAUCAGCCACACUGGCACUGACACACGGGCCAGACUCCUACGGGAGGCAGCAGUGAGGAAUAUUGGGCAAUGGGCGAAAGCCUGACCCAGCAACGCCGCGUGAGUGAUGAAGCUCUGAGGAGUGUAAAGCUCUGUUAGGAGGGAAGAAUAUUCCGAUUUGUCGGAACUGACGGUACCUCCAGAGAAAGCUCCGGCUAACUCCGUGCCA